rnacentral:lncRNA from 1 species
CUACUAAAAAGACUUGCAAACUUAGAAUUAUUAGUUUGCAAAAAAAAAGUGAUAAAAUGAGAUUGCAAAGAAUCAAUUGUCUGUUGGAAUAGCAUGCGGUGGUUUAGAUCUGUGCAUGGGAUGGAAGAUUAGGAUGUUAUUUCUUCUCAGGAAGAGUGGUGAGGCACUGGCACAGGCUGCCCAGGGAGGUGGUGGAGUCGCCCUCCCUGGAGGUGUUCAAGGAAGUAGGAGAUGUAGCACUGAGGUUCGUGGUCAGUGGGCAGAGUGGGGAUGGGUUGGUUGUUGGUCUGGAUGAUCUUAGAGGUCUUUUCAAAACUUAAUGAUUAUAUAAUAUAUUAAUAUAUUAAUAUUAUUAAUAAUACAUUCUUAAUUUCCAAUAUGUGGCUCCUUUAUCUUUUAUUUCCUGAAUCUGGUAAGUCUGUUCCCCAAAGAGCAAACCCUGUGCACGUUAAAUACUUUAUAUAACAGGACAAAGCUACUGGCAAUUUUGAAACUAUUAAUUUUCAGUAGAACUGUGGCUCAGACGUAGUAAAUGAGAGUUGAGAAUCCCCAUCUGCUUCUACAGCUUCAUUGGGAAUUUAAAGAACAUGGUGGUGCAGGCUAGACUGUAACUCCCGACUAUUUUGUUUGUAAUGGUCCUUUUGACUGAAAGACAUUUUGUGACUAUUCUUUGUAAUCAUCCUACACUUCAGAGCCACCCUGAUAUUCCCGACUGACAUUAAUGGGAAAAAGCAGGCCUUUUGGAAUUCAAAUGAGAUGCAGAGAGCAUCGUUCAGUGGGCUGAUUCCACUUCUGUUGGCAAUCUAUCAGAUAUGCUGCCAGUGGGAGUCUGAUUCCGCAAGAUGAAGAGUCAAACCCGCUGGCCCCGCCACAGCCCAUGCUGUUUUUCAAACAGGCAUGGAGAUGAGUUACUAAACAUCCAUUCUCAGCCACAGCUGGUGGCGGGGAUGGUCGUGGCUGCCUGAAAUUCUCUCCAAGGUAAGAAUGUCUCUCGUUGGCAACGGGAUUGCUGCUAAAGGCUCCUGGACGGAUGUCUGCAACACCAUCGACAUUUUAAUGGAUAAGAUCCUCUGACAAAAAUCGCCUCUACCUGUAACAUUUCUGUAGCCUGUGUUGGUUCCGUUUGGAUUUUUUUGUUUGUUUGUUUGUUUUAUUUCUGUUUUCCAUUCUUUGGGCUUGGUAACCCUUUUUGGUUUGCUGAUUUCUUCCAACCAGAUCAACUUCCACUUAACUGUGAAAUUACAGGGAGGUAUCUGGCUUGCUUCAGGGCCAGAAAGCAGACUGCCAGGGCCUGUGCAUUUGGGUCUGCUGUCUGGGCACAGUCUCACAGGUGGAGGUGCUCUAUAGGGACAUCCAGGCAAAGCCACUGCGUGAAGAACAGGAUCAGAGUGAACUGCUGGAAUCAAGAGUUCAUU